AUACGGAGGAUGCGAGCGUUAUCCGGAUUUAUUGGGUUUAAAGGGAGCGUAGGCGGGAGCUUAAGUCAGCGGUUAAAUGGUGCGGCUCAACCGUGCCCUGCCAUUGAAACUGGGUUUCUUGAGAGUGCAAGAGGCGGAUGGAAUUCAUGGUGUAGCGGUGAAAUGCUUAGAUAUCAUGAAGAACUCCGAUUGCGAAGGCAGUCCGCUGGGGCACGUCUGACGCUGAUGCUCGAAGGUGCGGGAAUCAAACAGGAUUAGAUACCCUGGUAGUCCGCACGGUAAACGAUGAUUACCCGCUGUCGGCGGCAGACAGUCGGCGGCCAAGCGAAAGCGAUAAGUAAUCCACCUGGGGAGUACGCCGGCAACGGUGAAACUCAAAGGAAUUGACGGGG
rnacentral:rRNA from 1 species